GGGGUCGUGGUGUAGUUGGUUAACAUAUCAGCUUGUCACGCUGGAGAUCGCGGGUUCAAGUCCCGUCGACCCCGCCA
rnacentral:tRNA from 1 species